AGUGAACGCUGGCGGCGUGCCUAAUACAUGCAAGUCGAACGGAGUGGCGCACGGGUGAGUAAUGUAUAGCGAAUCUGCCCUACACGAGAGGACAACAGUUGGAAACGGCUGCUAAUACUCUAUAGUGUAGGAUGAGGCUAUAUUGUAUCAGCUAGUUGGUGAGGUAAUGGCUCACCAAUGCUAUGACGCAUAACUGGUCGGAGAGGAUGAUCAGUCACACUGGAACUGAGACAUGGUCCAGACUCCUUCGGGAGGCAACCGUAGGGAAUAUUGCUCAAUGGGGGAAACCCUGGAGCAGCAACGCCGCGUGGAGGAUGACACUUUUCGGAGCGUAAACUCCUUUUGUUAGGGAAGCGGUACCUAACGAAUAAGCACCGGCUAACUCCGUGCCAGCAGCCGCGGUAAUUC
rnacentral:rRNA from 1 species